GGGAGCCGCCGCGGCAGCAAGAGCUCGCCUCUGCGAGGAAAGUCGAGCCCAGCCGGACGCGCACCUGUGACCGCCCGGGCUUCAGCCAGCAGCCGCGCACCAGCGCUUCCGUGCGCGCGGGGACCCGGCCGUUGAUCAUGUUAAUCCUGUGCCCAAAGGUCAUGACCUGAGGCACAGCAAUUGCCAGAAGCCUGAAUGUUACCUGAAGGAAUUACUCCAGUCAUUGGCAUGGACCAAGCUUAAACAGACCUGGAGGUUAAUUUGUUGUGCUGACAUUAAUGGUUGGGGCUCCAGAAGAAAAUGAGGCGAGUUCAGAGGAAACAAGACAUGGAACGUGAUGGACAGCCACUCUGCUCUGGAUCCUACCCUCUGCUAUGGUGUAGCCUCACUAGCGGUUGAGCCUGGGACAGCAGACUUCUAAACUGUGAGCAGAAAAAAAGGGCUGCACUCACCUGCUCCAGUUAUUCAGGACCCAGCCUGGUUGAGAACCACCCAUGGAUAUCUGAGGAAAGGGAUCACCUUCAAGCAGCAAGCACAGGAGGUACCUGAGAAGAGGAAUGCAUGUGAUCCAUCCCCGCAUUACCUAUCCCUGCCACAUAAUGCACAGGUGUUUAGUAAAUGUUUCUUGGUAGCCUGGAUUUCCGACCACUCGGCAGCGCGAUUUUCUUCUGUGAUGUCAUGACGUUUUCUACUCUAGCAUAUAUUCACCAGAGAGGGGCUGUUUAAACACAGAAUGAACCUGGGCUUUGCAGCUGACUGUUCCUGACCCUGAACAACUAGUUCACGAGGAAUUUAACUUCCCUGUGCCUUGCUGUAUUCAUUCUGCAAAACAGAAAGAAAAAGUCUAACCCAGGGAGAUGAUUGAGAAUGAAAUGAAGAAAUGCAGAUCAAAUACCUGGCAUCAGGCUGGGCCCAACCUUAGUAGAAGACAGAUGACAGUCGCCUCCUGC